AGCGCGCGUAGGUGGUUUGUUAAGUUGGAUGUGAAAGCCCCCCCCUCAACCUGGGAACUGCAUUCAAAACUGGCAAGCUAGAGUCCCGUAGAGGGUGGUGGAAUUCCCUGUGUAGCGGUGAAAUGCGUAGAUAUGGGAAGGAACACCAUUGGCAAAGGCGACCCCCUGGACUGAUACUGACUUUGAGGCGCGAAAGCGUGGGGA
rnacentral:rRNA from 1 species